CGCCAGAAAACUGCUGUCAAGUGGAUGUCCGUAUGGAUCAAGAGGACCGACUUGAAUACAUAAUUCUGAAGAAGCACAAAUCAGGCUCAGAUGAGGCUCAGACAGACCCCAGCCCAGACAUCAGCAGCCCCGGCUGCUCCCAACCUGGAACCAGCCAGGCAAGUCAGUGUCAGACAAAAGGACCCACACCAACCAGUCAGAAGCAUUUCAUCAGGGGAUGAGAGUGUUACGGGUACUUCUGCCUCUGAGGAGGAAGACAGUGAGUCAGAACUAGGAGAUGCCACUGAACUUCCCACAUCCUCUUCAAGCACCACAUAUUCUGCACCAAAAGGACCAAGUGAUAGGCCCGUACUCAUUUGCUUUUCUAUGAGCCAUUCUAAUAGCAGCUAUUCUGACAUGAUAUACUAUGAUAAGCACAUGUGCUGCUUAAAGGCAUUAUUUAGCCUAAGAUCUAAAUUCAGCUUCUGUUCUGCCAAUACUUGAGACAGUUUGUCACCUGGUAGUGCCCAUGUUAUUGAUGAUACUCUGCACUACGUUCUGUUUAGGAUUGAGAAUGUUCUACUUGGUAGUGGCAAUGGUCAUUACAAUGAUUACUCAAAAUGCUGGUUGAUGUAAAAUGACAUAUGUAUCGUUAUCUAAAAUUUUGUACAUUUUUGUUAAAUAAAGUCACUCAUGUAUUUCACUCAUUUAUCUCCUGUAUGCUUGAGUUUUACUUGUUGAAAAUAUUUCCACUUUGUGACCCAUAUUAUUAAUAUCAACAAACUAAUGUUUUUUUCUUUGUGAAAUUAAGUGUUUGAUGGUACUUGAACGUUACCUAUUUGCAACAUUUCUCAUUUGAAAUAGUAAA